rnacentral:rRNA from 1 species
CCCUUAGAUGUUCUGGGCCACACGCGCGUUACACUGAUGAAGCCAGCGAGUAUAUCGCCUUCACCGGAAGGUGCGGGUAAUCUUGUGAAACUUCAUCGUGCUGGGGAUAGACCAUUGCAAUUAUUGGUCUUGAACGAGGAAUUCCUAGUAAGCAUGAGUCAUCAACUCGUGCUGAUUACGUCCCUGCCCUUUGUACACACCGCCCGUCGCUCCUACCGAUUGAAUGUUCCGGUGAGCUCUUCGGACUGCGCGGUCUGCAGUUUCUGCGUUCCGUGCGGAAAGUUGCGCAAACCUUAACAUUUAGAGGAAGGAGAAGUCGUAACA